rnacentral:rRNA from 1 species
AUUGAACGCUGGCGGCAGGCCUAACACAUGCAAGUCGAGCGAGCGGCGGACGGGUGAGUAAUGUAUGGGGACUGCCCGAUAGAGGGGGAUAACUACUGGCAACGGUAGCUACUACCGCAUACUAUCGGAUAACCCAUAUGGGAUUAGCUAGUAGGUGAGGUAAUGGCUCACCUAGGCGACGAUCCCUAGCUGGUCUGAGAGGAUGAUCAGCCACACUGUGACUGAGACACGGCCCAGAAUCAUACGGAGGCAGCAGUGGGGAAUAUUGCACAAUGGGCACAAGCCUGCUGCAGCCAUGCCGCGUGUAUGAAGAAGGCCGUGGGGUUGUAAAGUACUUUCAGUCGGGAGGCGUUACCGACAGAAGAAGAACAGGAUAACUCCGUGCAAGCAGCCGCGGUAAUUC